rnacentral:rRNA from 1 species
AAGCAGCCACCCUUGAAAGAGUGCGUAAUAGCUCACUGGUCUAGUGAUUCCGCGCCGACAAUGUAGCGGGGCUCAAGCGUACCGCCGAAGUCGUGUCAUUCAUACAACAGGGCCAACGCCUGUAUGGAUGGGUAGGGGAGCGUCGUGUGCCGGGUGAAGCCGCAGCGGAAGCUAGUGGUGGACGGUUCACGAGUGAGAAUGCAGGCAUGAGUAGCGAUACACACGUGAGAAACGUGUGCGCCGAUUGACUAAGGGUUCCUGGGUCAAGCUGAUCUGCCCAGGGUAAGUCGGGACCUAAGGCGAGGCCGACAGGCGUAGUCGAUGGAUAACCGGUUGAUAUUCCGGUACCCGCUGUGAAGCGUCAAACAUCGAGCAUCGUGAUGCUAAGGCCGUGAAGCCGUUCCGGACCCUUCGGGGAAUGGAAAGUGGUGGAGCCGCCGGCCCAAGCGGUUAGUAGGUGAGUGAUGGGGUGACGCAGGAAGGUAGUCCAUCCCGGGCGGUGGUUGUCCCGGGGUAAGGGUGUAGGACGAGUGGUAGGCAAAUCCGCCAUUCAUUAAGUCUGAGACCUGAUGCCGAGCCGAUUGUGGUGAAGUGGAUGAUCCUAUGCUGUCGAGAAAAUCCUCUAGCGAGUUUCAUGGCGGCCCGUACCCUAAACCGACUCAGGUGGUCAGGUAGAGAAUACCGAGGCGUUCGGGUGAACUAUGGUUAAGGAACUCGGCAAAAUGCCCCCGUAACUUCGGGAGAAGGGGGGCCAUCACUGGUGAAGGCAUUUACUGUCUGAGCUGGGGGUGGCCGCAGAGACCAGCGAGAAGCGACUGUUUACUAAAAACACAGGUCCGUGCGAAGCCGUAAGGCGAUGUAUACGGACUGACGCCUGCCCGGUGCUGGAACGUUAAGGGGACCGGUUAGUCACUCUUCGGGGUGGCGAAGCUGAGAACUUAAGCGCCAGUAAACGGCGGUGGUAACUAUAACCAUCCUAAGGUAGCGAAAUUCCUUGUCGGGUAAGUUCCGACCUGCACGAAUGGCGUAACGACUUCUCGACUGUCUCAACCAUAGGCCCGGUGAAAUUGCACUACGAGUAAAGAUGCUCGUUUCGCGCAGCAGGACGGAAAGACCCCGGGACCUUUACUACAGUUUGAUAUUGGUGUUCGGUUCGGCUUGUGUAGGAUAGCUGGGAGACUGUGAACUCUGGACGCCAGUUCAGGGGGAGUCGUCGUUGAAAUACCAGUCUGGUCGUGCUGGAUGUCUAACCUGGGUCCGUGAUCCGGAUCAGGGACAGUGUCUGAUGGGUAGUUUAACUGGGGCGGUUGCCUCCUAAAGAGUAACGGAGGCGCCCAAAGGUUCCCUCAGCCUGGUUGGCAAUCAGGUGUUGAGUGUAAGUGCACAAGGGAGCUUGACUGUGAGACCGACGGGUCGAGCAGGGACGAAAGUCGGGACUAGUGAUCCGGCGGUGGCUUGUGGAAGCGCCGUCGCUCAACG